CUCGGACCUUCGACAAUUGCACGCUCGCUCUUCUGUUAACAGCACGUCUCUAAUAGGAAGGAGAGACUUCGUUUAUUUAUUGUAACAGACUUAAGCGAACGGCCAUGCUAAAUGAAAGGGCCUAUUCUUUUUACAAAGUUAGUUUGAUUCCUUGACAUGCCAGCAUAAUGAAGGAGUGAUGAGAUCCAAUGGCUUGGGCCACCAGCCCAGCCCAACUCACUUUAAUUCCUGCCCCCAGCUCUUUCCACCUCAUACGCACAGAGGGCCAGUGCCGUGGGCUUCUUGCUGGGUGCCAACUGAUGUUAUCGGCCUUUCAAAACAGUCUCCUUCUCAGCCUGGCUGGUCUAAGCAUAUUUCACACUCGUGUACAGGACCAGGUUUAUGACUGACCAUAUUGCUCCGAUUUUACGGUGACAUUUUAGUCUGCAGUGAGAAAUGAGGGAAUUUGUGUUUCUGUCCCAAGCGUGUUCACUAGAAACCACACGCACUCGCUUCUAAUGGGAGUCUUCCUGGCUAGCGCCAGCUCAUGAACAUGGAAACGUGGUUGCCCUCGUCAAUCCAAAACCUACAAUGCAUCUCUCUCAAAGCAGACGGAGCCAAAGGAAAACGCUGUGUCCAAUACAGUCUCCUCGGCAAGUGCCAUGUUUGUUUUAUUUCAUGAUUUUAUUUUCCUAGUCUAAC